AUUGAACGCUGGCGGCAUGCCUUACACAUGCAAGUCGAACGGCAGCACGGGAGCAAUCCUGGUGGCGAGUGGCGAACGGGUGAGUAAUAUAUCGGAACGUGCCCAGUCGUGGGGAUAACGUAGCGAAAGCUACGCUAAUACCGCAUACGAUCUAUGGAUGAAAGCGGGGGAUCGCAAGACCUCGCGCGAUUGGAGCGGCCGAUAUCAGAUUAGGUAGUUGGUGAGGUAAAGGCUCACCAAGCCGACGAUCUGUAGCUGGUCUGAGAGGACGACCAGCCACACUGGGACUGAGACACGGCCCAGACUCCUACGGGAGGCAGCAGUGGGGAAUUUUUGGACAAUGGGCGCAAGCCUGAUCCAGCAAUGCCGCGUGCAGAUGAAGGCCUUCGGGUUGU
rnacentral:rRNA from 1 species